AGGGACGGCGUGGCUUUGAUUCUCUCAAAUUAAAGGCACGCCAGCCCGCAGGCGGUCAGACGGAGCGACUUAAAGAAAGUCCGGCCGACGCGCGCACUUUUCCACAUCGGACUAGUCAUUAAGGCCCGGUCCUCCCGGUCCUCUCGGUCCGUUACCUGACGCCUCGCCGCUGGCCUCCUCGGGCAGCUCCUGCAGCGUCAGCGUCCAUUCCAGCGGCGCGUCGCACGGCGUCACCGUCACCGACAGCGGCGUGUUGUCUUCUUCCACCACAAAGUAGUACCUGGGAGAACCAUUCCAGAUACGCACGUCAGAUGCUUAUGUUCCAGAGGCGUAGAAAAUAGGUAGCCGCUGACCUCGGCUCCGUCGGGAAGGACGGACGAGUCGUGGAAGAUGGACUUGUCUCGGAUCUGCAUCUGGAAAAGGCCCUCAUCUCGCGUGGGCAGCUUCUGCGCCAAAGUCCCCAGAAAACCCAGCAGGACCAGAAGCAGCAGUCCACUCCUCCAGCCUUUACACUGCCUCAUCCUGGAGCACAAACACCAGAUAUGUGUCACUUAUCAGCCCCGUUAUUGACUCAUUUCAUGUUGGCUUGAUCGGGUAUAGCUUCACUCUUGGCUUAGCAAUGCUAACAAUUAGCAAAAAAAACGGUCCCUUAAAAGCUCUUUUUUGGACGCAUUUGGCAAAUAGAACAAUAGUACAAGACAACAACGAACACAUGAGCGAUACUUUUAGAUAGAUAACUGUGCCCUUUCAGUCACUAUUUCUUCUUUUUAGUUCAGUGGAAGCCAAGCGAGCUUUCAUUCUGGUACAUAAUUAGAUAAACUAGCUAGCAGUAGCGAGGGGGGGGGGGUUCUUAAAGGAUUUCGAACGCAAAAAUACAGUCAUUCACAACACUUUUGGGAAGAUGUACGGUUCAUUUUAUUUUUCAAUGUACGGUUCAUUUUAUUUUCAAUCUAAGCCCACGAUAAUAUAUAUUGGUGCCUUGAAUUAUGAGUUGAAUUUGUUCUGUGACAAAGCUCGUCACUCAAUUUUAUGUGCCAAAUAAAUGUUCCCACUAAAAUGAAUUGAAAUGUCAUUCAUCAAUUCAACUGUCAUAAUAGUGUAUGUACAGCGCUGGAAAAAAAUAUUUCAGAGAUCCCAAAAAUGUUUUAAAUGAAACACUUGACCAUUUUUUUGGUAUUUUGACCAUUUUGAAUCUUCUGCAAAUAAUGCCAAUCUUUGGGAAUUAUGUUGUCAGUAGUUCACUGAUUCAGACGUUUUAUCCAAACAUGUCUAUAAAUAGCAAAAUCGGACCAACUGUUAAUUUUGCAGUGGUGUCUCCAUAUUUUGAGCGGUGUAUAUUUUUUUGCCUUGCGGAUGCGGGACCUUAAUUAACGCUCAACGCGAGUGACAGAUUAGCUAUAGCGUGACAGAUAAAAAGCGAAAGGACGGCAGGCAACCAAGCGGACGGAGGGAUUAAAUUUAAAAACACGAACGGAGGGAAACCACAGCGGGUUCAUAAACCGCUUAAUAAUACAUAUUUAAAAAUCCCCCAAAUCCGCGUCGUUGAACAUUUAUUGAGGUUUUUGUUGGCGCACAGAUGGGCGCGGUGCUGAGAGGACCUCGCGUGUCCUAUUGAUUUUUGGAGCCAUUGAUCGCGGCUGAUGGGAACGCCAAAUCCCUGGUGAUUUAAUCAGCGUUAUGGCGGCAGAUUAGCCAGAUAGUUUGCCGCCGGCCGUGCCGUGUCCUUCAAGUGACCUUCACGACCGACCAAAAACACCGAGCAACCGGCCUCUCCCUUGCUGACCACACACAGCUCGGACUUGAACACGUUUUUGGGGGGGGCAAAGCAUGAAUGCCGAGAGCGGUUUAAAAAGGCAACCGGCGUCUUUAGCGAACGACAAGGAUCGUCCCGAUCCAAAGAUCCAAAGCAUACCGCAUCAUGUAUAUCCAACAUUCGUCGAUCCGUCGAUCAGUCUUAUCUUGCGUCUUAUCUUUCUCUCAUUCUGUCUACGUACACAUCUAUCGAUCUAUCGCGAUAAUUCUAUUGUUCCAUCCAUCAUUCCAUAGCUAUCGUACUUUUAUCUAGCUAUCUAUCAUCUAUCAUUCUGUCUAUCGACCAUCUAUUGUUCUAUUAAGCUAUCGUUCCACCUAGCUAUUGUUCUGCUAUCUAUCAUUGAUCUAUCGUCGUACUGUAUGUGGCUGUCUUAUCGUCUACUGCAUCCGUCUUGUUCUAUCCAGCCAUCUAUUGUUAUACAUCUAUCUAUCUAUUGUUCUAUAGCUAUUGUUCCGCUAUCUAUCUAUCAUUCUAUCUAGCUAUCUAUCGCCUAUCUAUCGAUCCAUCAAGCCAUCUAUCUAGUGAUGGUUCUGUCCAGCUUUUGGUCUAUGUCCAUCAUUGUACGAUCUAUCUAUCUAUCUACAGAACAAGUACCUAUUGUUCUAUCUAUCCUUCGAUCUCUGCGUCGCCUGUAAAUGUUGCGGGUCCAAUGAAUGUAAAACUGGAGAAAAACAAAAUAUUUGAAAAAUGUCAAUGAAUGAAUUCGGGCCUUUUUUCUUGUCGGAUGUUUUUGAACGUAUCUGAUGUGCGUUUUGUGAUUUUGAUUAUAUUCCGUUCUGUGUCUUGUUUUCCCGCGUCCCAUGUCCACGUCUCGUCUCGCUCGUCUCGUCUCGCUCGUUAGGUCUUCGUUCGCCCCCGCGCCCGUGAGCCCUGCUGCUCGUGUCGACCGAUCAGCUCCCUGCGGCCGCUCGCGUCUUGUCCAGAUUCGGUACAAGUGGGUCAACUAGUAAAGGGAGAUAAGUCAGGCUGGAGCAGGAUUGACAACAACUUUCCAACGCGCACGAUCGAAGAAGAAGAAGGCGACGACCGGGGAAGUAUCGGAGCGCACGCGAAGAGGCAAAGGGAGGCGAGGACAUGUGAGCGAUGCGGUGGCUUUGGGAAGACGGCCCGUGGGAAAGAAGGUCGUCCCCGAACGAGCGAGGCGAGGAAGUCGAGGGGAGCGCCCUCGUGGGAAAAGCAACACUCCGCGCCGGACUCUGCGGAACGACGGGCUUCGCCCCAAUGCGCGAGACUCGGGAGCGAGAAGGCCGAUCCGCCCGGCCGCGUGUCGUGAUCCAAAGCAUUCCACAUCAUGUCCAGUGGCUCAACAUACCAUAUCAUAUGCCAGCUACAAAUGAUCUAUCUAUCUGAACAGAUGUACAUCAAAUGAAAGAAAAAUGGUGCCCGAAAAAGUGUUUGGAAACAAAUGACGGCAAAAAACACAUCGACCGUGACAGUGAAAAGUUGAAUACAACUGGACCGUACUUAACGCUACUGGAUUAAAACCCGAACAUGAGGCAGAGUUGGGCCAUUUAAUCCGGUGAUUCUUCGCAUACUACACUUUGAGAAUGACUGAUUUAGGCAUUAGCGGUUAGCCUUAGCGCAGCCCCGGUCGACAAUAACUGCAGCAACACUGGCGGAAUUUCUUUCAGCGACAAGUUUUCAUAUGCAAAUGCGGCUUUAGUUACGCUACGCCACGCGGACCUUUCCCAUUUCAAGACUUUUUUUUCUUGGUUGGUCAUCAUUCAUUGGGGCUCCCCCCCCCACCCCGCUACUAAACGCACCAAUUCCCACUUUAACCCCAACCUCCCCACCCUCACUACCUCCCCUUCUCCCACCCACCCGUGCAACCUACUACCAUCACUUACGCAUUCUCUACUCUCAGUUAAAAGUGUUUCUUGGGAAUCAUCUCAAACGCUUCACAUCGGGACGCAUUCUGAGCCCCCGACCCUGGAGUUGGGAACCCCCUAAUUCAUUCAAUUGUACAGAAUUUGACAUCACUUCCGGGGCCUUAAAGACCACCAUUCUCCCACAGAAAUGAAUACAAAUAAAGCAAAGGAAUGAUGAUUGAAAAACAUGCAAUUUACACUCAGACGACUUUCACGGGCAACCACACACACACACACACACACACACACACACACACAAACGUGAUGCACGUUAAUGAUUUGUUCAUGAAAGACUGAAACUUUACUCAUUAAAACACCAGUGGUGCUUUCAGGGUCCGCUAGUCAAACUUAACAUGCCAGCGAAACACGAGUGAUUUGGGGAAUCAAUGACUCGUGGUGCGUUCAAAGUCCGCAACUCACAUUUUGCUUGAAACGGGAUGAAUUAAAAGCUAAUGCCA